rnacentral:snoRNA from 1 species
AAGAAGAUAUACAGGGACAAAUGGAAUCUGUGUUGGGAGAGGAAGGAAGUUGGUAAAGGGCUUCCAAACAUUUGCUAUAUUAGACCAUCCAUUGGUCCCCAGACCUAGUUCUUUCCCUAGGCCUGGAUUUAUAAAUACUGGUGAUAAAC